rnacentral:lncRNA from 1 species
GCACAAAAUUCCAUGCUUGCUGCACAACGUUUGUUUCUCCAUUUGAGAGUUCUAACUUUGAUUCUUCCAUGCCAUUUGUGUUUAAACCAGAACAAUUGUAGAAGGCAGUAACAUGCUAUUGAUAGUACUAUGACUGUUCAUGACCAUAUGCAUGAUCAAUUAAAAUCUUUUGUAAGUAAACAAUUCCGUACUUUGAUUAAUACAGGGCA